ACUUCAUCCAGAGGGGUAGAGGGUCCGGCCCUGCGAAACCCCGGCAACCGGCGUCGACAGCCCGGCCGCGUCCAGCGGCAUUCGACGAUCACGGUGCCAAUUCCGGCCCGCGCUGCGGGAAAGAUGAGGA
rnacentral:ncRNA from 2 species